rnacentral:rRNA from 1 species
CCUACGUGAGGCUGCAGUGGGGGAUAUUGCACAAUGGGGGGAACCCUGAUGCAGCGACGCCGCGUGGGUGCAGGAGCGUUUCGGCGCGUAAAGCCCUCUCGGCAGGGAAGAAGGAGGACGGUACCUGACUAAGAAGCCCCGGCUAACUACGUGCCAGCAGCCGCGGUCAUACGUAGGGGGCAAGCGUUAUCCGGAUUUACUGGGUGUAACGGGGGCGCAGACGGCAGCGCAAGCCAGGCGUGAAAGCCCGGGGCCCAACCCCGGGACUGCUCUUGGAACUGCGCGGCUGGAGUGCAGGAGGGGCAGGCGGAAUUCCUGGUGUAGCGGUGAAAUGCGUAGAUAUCAGGAGGAACACCGGUGGCGAAGGCGGCCUGCUGGACUGCGACUGACGUUGAGGCCCGAAAGCGUGGGGAGCAAACAGGAUUAGAUACCCCGGUAGUC